UCCUACGGGACGCAGCAGUGAGGAAUAUUGGUCAAUGGUCGGGAGACUGAACCAGCCAAGCCGGGUGAGGGAGGAAGGUACAGAGUAUCGAAAACCUCUUUUGUCAGGGAACAAAGACUGGGACGCGUCCCCGGAUGAGUGUACCUGAAGAAAAAGCAUCGGCUAACUCCGUGCCAGCAGCCGCGGUAAUACGGAGGAUGCGAGCGUUAUCCGGAUUUAUUGGGUUUAAAGGGAGCGCAGGCGGUCUGUUAAGUCAGCGGUCAAAGCCCGGGGCUCAACCCCGGGCCGCCGUUGAAACUGGGAGG
rnacentral:rRNA from 1 species